rnacentral:tRNA from 1 species
CAAUGAACUUAAGAUUUAUAUAUGAGGUAAUAUCUUUAUUAGAA